AAGUAGACACAAGGGCUGCUGGCUGGAGAACAGCCCUUCCUCCCAAGCAGCUGCGGAGACUCACAGCCUUGACUCUUGUGUUUAAGAACCGUACAGAGCUCAACAAUGCAUCUGGAUUGUGCACGUGUGUUCAUCCUCCCCAUCACAGCGCCAGGACAGACGGACGCAGCGGCCUGACCGACAGCGAAACUGUUCAGCUGUGCACAUGGAGGUGGCUGGACAGAGUAAAGACCUAAUGAAAGGCUGGUCCUCCCACCCCAGCCUGAAACCCUGCCACCCGAAGCACACAGGCUACUCUUCUAGACAGUGGUGUCGCAAGUUUCUCUUUAUGAACCAGAGCCCGUGGAAGUCGCCUGGCCCCUCCUAACACUCACGACAGUCCUGCUCAUCAGAGUCAUCUUCACAGUCAUUGUCUCCGUCACACACCCAGGAGCGUCGGAUGCACUUGCCGUUGUCACAGUGGAAGUCCAGAGGGGAGCAUGUAGGCAGUGCUGGGUCCAAGAGAAGGGAAAAGUCAGGCAGGAAGGCUACACUGGGCCAGAGACCCUUGCUCCAAAUCCCACUGUCCUCAUAAUCAUCCCUGGUCCCCUGGUUGAUAGAGCCGCUAGGGAACUGCAGCUGGGAAGAGG